GCCGCAGCGGCUGCCGCUGUAGUGCAUUGUAGUUGCAUUGCAUGUGUCUGACCAGGGUGCAAUGCCCCUGCAGUGCAAUACAGAGCCAGCCCCCGGC